rnacentral:rRNA from 1 species
GGUUAAGUCCGCAACGACGCGCAACCCUCGACCUUAGUUGCCAGCAUUCAGUUGGGCACGUCUAAGGUGACUGCCGGCUAAAAGUCGGAGGAAGGUGGGGAUGACGUCAAAUCAUCAUGCCCCUUAUGACCUGGGCUACACACGUGCUACAAUGGGCGGUACAAAGGGUCGCGAACCCGCGAGGGGGAGCCAAUUCCAAAAAGCCGCCCUCAGUUCGGAUUGCAGGCUGCAACUCGCCUGCAUGAAGCCGGAAUCGCUAGUAAUCGCGGAUCAGCAUGCCGCGGUGAAUACGUUCCCGGGCCUU